UACAGAGGUCCCGAGCGUUGUUCGGAUUCACUGGGCGUAAAGGGUGCGUAGGUGGCAUGGUAAGUUUGAUGUGAAAGCUCAGGGCUCAACCCUGAAAUGGCAUUGAAUACUACUGUGCUGGAGGUUUGGAGGGGGACUGGAAUUCUUGGUGUAGCAGUGAAAUGCGUAGAUAUCAAGAGGAACACCAGUGGCGAAGGCGAGUCCCUGGACAACACCUGACACUGAGGCACGAAAGCUAGGGGAGCAAACAGG
rnacentral:rRNA from 1 species